UCCUGGUUAACCCAGGCAGUCUCAUUAGAGUUCCCAGCAUCACCUGUUGGCAACUAAUGAUAAGGGUUGCGCUCGUUGCGGGACUUAACCCAACACCUCACGGCACGAGCUGACGACAGCCAUGCAGCACCUGUGCAGAGGCCCCGAAGGGAGGCGCCAUCUCUGGCGAUGUCCUCUGCAUGUCAAGCCUGGGUAAGGUUCUUCGCGUUGCAUCGAAUUAAACCACAUGCUCCACUGCUUGUGCGGGUCCCCGUCAAUUCUUUUGAGUUUCAGCCUUGCGACUGUACUUCCCAGGCGGUAUACUUAUCGCGUUAGCUACGGCACAGCCGGGGUUGAGUCCAGCUACACCAAGUAUACAUCGUUUACGGCAAGGACUAC
rnacentral:misc_RNA from 1 species